rnacentral:lncRNA from 1 species
CCAGUUUCUCACACACACUGUAAAUAUUUGUUGAGUAGAGACGUGUUUUGUAUAUACAUAUGUGGCGUCUUGCUGAUCACCCGAUUUUUAUGGAUUAUGUUGUGCAUCCUGUCACAGACGUCCCAGUCCAGAUAGAGUGCACCGUACUGCCUGGAGGGGACCCCGAAAACGAGAUUUACUGGAUCGUUAAUCAAUCCUUCAUUGCAAAAUAUCCGGAGCUUCACCAGAACCUGAGCAUAGAGAGAAGAGAGGACGGCCAGCUGUAUGCUGUCUCCACACUGACGAUUACUGCGGCUCGUCCGGAGUUCUUCCAAGUCCCUUUUGCUUGUGUUGCAUUCAACCCUGCUGGCAGGGAUGUGGGUCACUUGCAGCUGAUCCCUGUUCACUCCAGGCACUUCUACACCUGCAUGGUCAGCCUGGGGCUCUUCAUGUUGGUCAUUGUUGCAUUGUACAGCCUUUGUUGUGCUAAAGACUGUUGCCGCAGGUCCAGUGAAGCAGCAGAUCCCUCAGCUACAGACAACGCUUGCUCUAAUCUCAGUGGACGUGAGUGAAGGCGAGUGCUGCAAGAUGAUGACACCAAAGAUCGAGUUGCUGAAGUACUGAAGUACUGAAGUACUGAACACACAACUUAUAUAUGCAAAUGUUUGACUGGUGUAUUAAUAUUUAUUGUAAAGGAGAAAAGCACAUCUCAUAUUUAUGAGGUUGGAUCUCAGGGAAGUGUUAACAAAAGAAAAGUAGCUUAUAAUGUAUGUGUAAUAAUCGAGGUUGAUCCAUUUCACAUUUAAAACAUUUAACCACAAACCGGAAAGAUUUGAAGAGACGCAGAUGUCUUUCUGAUUGAUAGCUCUGCUGCGCAGGAGUCGACUUGUUCGCUCGCUGGAUUCCUCCCAGCAAGGUCAUGCUUCACUUUACCGAGUCUAUUCUCGUAUCUGUUUGCGCUGUAGAAAUGUGGAUGAAAAGGAUUUUUUGGUGUUCUGAGUAUAUUUUUAAACCUCAGGGUGUAGUUGAAUACUUGAGAGGUAAACUGACUAGUUAAUGAGAUCAGCCUGAAGCCUGUAUAGCUGCCAGAAACAGUAUUUACAUUUACAGCAUUUAUCAGAGAGACUUACAAUCAGUAUUUACAGGGACAGUCCCCCCCUGGAGACACUCAGGGUUAAGUGUCUUGCUCAGGGACAUAAUGGUAGUAAGAAGGAUUUGAACCUGGGUCUUCUGGUUCACAGGCGAGUGUUUUACCCCAAGGCUACUAUUAAACUAGUUCCCAACUAGUUAUGAAAGUGCUUUUCUUCAGCUGGAACAGGGCUGGAGUCGAGGUGGAGGAGAAAAUGAAGGUUUUGGGACGACCCAGCCUGAGAACAGACCUAAAUCCACGAGGUGACCUGAAGAGACGCCCUCGCUAUCUGACAGGUCUGGGACACUUUUGCAAGGGAGAGUGGACAAAAGCUGCCAUGUCGAGAUGUGCCAUGCUGAAAGACUCCAGCCCAGGAAGACUGAAUGCCGAUAUUAAAUCAAAAUGGGGAAUUAAUAAAAU